UGGGGAAUAUUGGACAAUGGGCGCAAGCCUGAUCCAGCAAUGCCGCGUGAGUGAUGAAGGCCUUAGGGUUGUAAAGCUCUUUUACCCGGGAAGAUAAUGACUGUACCGGGAGAAUAAGCCCCGGCUAACUCCGUGCCAGCAGCCGCGGUAAUACGGAGGGGGCUAGCGUUGUUCGGAAUUACUGGGCGUAAAGCGCGCGUAGGCGGCUUUGUAAGUUAGAGGUGAAAGCCCGGGGCUCAACCCCGGAAAUGCCUUUAAGACUGCAUCGCUUGAAUCCAGGAGAGGUGAGUGGAAUUCCGAGUGUAGAGGUGAAAUUCGUAGAUAUUCGGAAGAACACCAGUGGCGAAGGCGGCUCACUGGCCUGGUAUUGACGCUGAGGUGCGAAAGCGUGGGGAGCAAACA
rnacentral:rRNA from 1 species